CGGGCGGCGAGGCGGGCGCUGCCAGGGCGAGCCGGGGGGCGGCUCCCCGGACCGGCCCCCCGGGAAACGCGGCCCCGGCGAGCCCAGGCGAGCUGGAGGAGGCGGUGGUGGCGGCAGCCGGUGCCGGGGGCAUCGUGGUGCUGCCUUGUCCGAGGGACCGGCGCUGUGCCCCCCCUUGCAGCCCUGUUCCACCCCUUUGGAUCCAUUCUCUCUCCGUUGGAAGGCACCACUCCACCAGGACAGAGGAGCACACUUGUCCUUGUGGGUGCCUUUGGAACCACUCCACUCGUGGGUACAGAGGUGAGGUCACAAGGGGGCACAGAGGUUUCUCAAGGGAGGAAAAGCCAUUUCAGGGUCAGCACUGCAUAUCACUCCUGGCCUUUCAUCUCACAGGACUUGUCUCACACCUGUGGAUGCUGGUUUUUUCCUGUUUUCUGCAAAAGUGAACUGAGCUCAACAUUUUUCAUGUGUUAGAGAGGGAAAAUGUGCACCACUUUGCCAUCAGCAUAGUGUUUGCCUGAUUGUAAAAAUCACCCUAAAU
rnacentral:lncRNA from 1 species